rnacentral:rRNA from 1 species
GACGAACGCUGGCGGCGUGCUUAACACAUGCAAGUCGAACGGACAGGCCCUGCUUUUGUGGGGUGCUCGAUUGGCGAACGGGUGAGUAACACGUGAGUAACCUGCCCUUGACUUUGGGAUAACUUCAGGAAACUGGGGCUAUUACCGGAUAGGAGCUCCUGCUGCAUGGUGGGGGUUGGAAAGUUUCGGCGGUUGGGGAUGGACUCGCGGCUUAUCGGCUUGUUGGUGGGGUAGUGGCUUACCAAGGCUGUGACGGAUAGCCGGCCUGAGAGGGUGACCGGCCACAUUGGGACUGAGAUACGGCGCAGACUCCUACGGGAGGCAGCAGGGGGGAAUAUUGCAGAAUGGGGGGAAGCCAGAUGCAGAAACGCCGCGUGCGGGAUGACGGCCUUCGGGUUGUAAACAGCUGUCGAAUGUGACGAAGCGUGAGUGACGGUAAUGGGUAAAGAAGCACCGGCUAACUACGUG